UACGUAGGGCGCAAGCGUUGUCCGGAUUUAUUGGGCGUAAAGAGCUCGUAGGCGGCUUGUUGCGUCGGCUGUGAAAACCCGCGGCUUAACUGCGGGCUUGCAGCCGAUACGGGCGGGCUGGAGUUCGGUAGGGGAGACUGGAACUCCUGGUGUAGCGGUGGAAUGCGCAGAUAUCAGGAAGAACACCAACGGCGAAGGCAGCUCGCUGGGACGGUACUGACGCUGAGACGCGAAAGCGUGGGGAGCGAACAGG
rnacentral:rRNA from 1 species